rnacentral:tRNA from 1 species
CUUUUCACUUAGUGGUAGAGUAAUACCAUGGUAAGACAAAAGUCAUAGGUUCGAAUCCGAGAAAG